AGUCCGCAACCCGACUACAUGAAGCCGGAAUCGCUAGUAAUCGCGAAUCAGAAUGUCGCGGUGAAUACGUUCCCGGGUCUUGUACACACCGCCCGUCACACCAUGGGAGCCGGUAAUACCCGAAGUCAGUAGCCUAACCGCAAGGGGGGCNCUGCCGAAGGUAGGAUUGGCGACUGGGGUGAAGUCGUAACAAGGUACC
rnacentral:rRNA from 1 species